GCAACGAGCGCAACCCUGCCCUUAGUUGCCAUCGGGUCACGCCGGGAACUCUAAGGGACCGCCCGGACAACGGGGAGGAAGGUGGGGAUGACGUCAAGUCAGCAUGGCCUUUAUGUCCAGGGCUACACACGUGCUACAAUGGUUGGUACAAAGGGUUGCCAAGCCGUGAGGCGGAGCCAAUCUCAAAAAGCCAACCUCAGUUCGGAUUGCAGUCUGCAACUCGACUGCAUGAAGUUGGAAUCGCUAGUAAUCGCUGAUCAGCAGGCAGCGGUGAAUACGUUCCCGGGCCUU
rnacentral:rRNA from 1 species